rnacentral:lncRNA from 1 species
CAGGGUCUUCCUCUGUAUCCCAGGUUGGCUGUGAACUUCUGAUCAUUUUGCCACUAAACCCAACUCAAAUUUUCUGAUUUUAUAAUAAACUAUGUGAUAGUCCUACUACUUUCUCUCUCUCUCUCUUUUUUUUUUGUCUUUAAUAUUCUUCUGUUUUCUAAAUUAGUGAAGUUGUUUCUUCACUAAAUAAAGGCUGGGUUACUUACUGACUUGCUUCUCUUAUGAAGAGAACUCUGCUUAGUCUUUGAAAAUCUGCCUAACAUUCCUUGCUUAACCUGGAGAUACGUUACCACCUCCCACUUUGGAAACCCUGAAUUCUGCCUUUUGCUUUCCUGCCCUGGCUCCAUUAUAAAGGGUGAGCCACAACUUCUGUUGGUUUUAACCUCUCUUGGCCUUUUCAUUUUGCAUUAGUGGUAUGUCCAGUUUGAUUCAAAAUGUUUGUUGGCAUUCUACAGCUACCUACUUCCUCCUCAACAACACUCCUUGGAACCUUCCAAUCAAUAUGAGAACUCCCAAGUCUUUCUAGCCCUGUCUGAUCACUUCCUGAUUUCCACUCACUGCUCCCAUCACUGUCAACCUCUGCAUUUAGGACAAACUCCACUGAGUCCAUGUGCUCUCUAACUUCACCUAGCUAUAAAAGUCUAGGUGAUUAGGUCUACCAUUGUGGGAAAAUCAUGUUUUUUUAAAACACAGUCUGAGACAUUUGUCCAUGGUUAUCAAUGACAUAGAACUCACAGUUAUUUUAUAGGCACUGUUUUUCUUUUUUGCCAGAACCAUAGUUUUACAGCUGAAUUAAAUAUCUCAUUUUCUCUUUUCUAAGGCCUGAGUCUACCUUCUUGGUGUGGUUCAUUCCUCUGAGCCCCUCUGCACCCUCCUCUCUCCCAGCUCCUCUCAUGCUCUCCCUCCCACCUAUUACAACUUCCUCACACUUCUCCUGGGUCCCAGUUAACCCUUUCUCCUGCUCUACCUUCCACUGCUCAGAGAAGCAGAGUCACCCUCUCAACACCUGAAGCUUCUUCCGAUGCCCUCUGGGGUGCUCCGGUGUAUUCUACAGACCUGUGCGUCAGCACCCCAGCUUGACCUGUCCUCCACACCCACUGCUUCACCUGACUUGGGUCUCUCUGCAUCCGACUGAUUGUACCAAGUCUGCACCCUCUACCCAGCAGUCUCUCUGGCCCAGACUUCAUGGUCCUUCUAGAACUAACUGUGUCCAUGGCUCCCAGUGACCUGUGCUGCUUCUUUUCACAUCCUUCCAUUCACAUCUGAUGAAGCUCUCAGGGAACCUCUGACUCUGACCGUGAUCUUCCACCUGUCCUGUGUUUUGGCAUUCUGCCUGCAUAGCCUACCCUGUCUCCAGAAGUUCUAACUUCCACACUGUCUUAAUGCUGCUGAACUGAAGCUCUCUCCCUGGGGACUCUAGUCCCUGAAUUUUCUUUCUACUCCUCAGCACUCAUCUCCUUCCAUGAGCUUCCCUACAUCACUGGCUCCAUUUUUACCUGCCUUUGAUUCCUACAUACAACUAGCUAUAAACACCUUUCACCUCUAUGCAUCCUCCAUCUCUAUCAGCCUCACUGCCCCACCUCAGUCCUCAGCAGGAAGCACAGUUGGCAGUGCCCUCCCUGCCCCUGACAGGAAACCCUCUCACAGCUCUCACCCUUCCUCCCACCUCCCUUCUGCACUGCAUCCAGUUGCUGCUCACUGUCAUCCCCCUGCACCAGCAGGACCUUUCCUCCCAAGUCUGACAGUCAUGACUCUGAUGCCUCCUCCAUCUGCUCACCCUUCCUUCUCUGUAGCCUUCUCCAUCCCCCUACCCCUUCCACCAGUGAUUCUCACCCGGGGGUGCAUGGCCCCCAAGUAGCCUAUCAGAACCAUCUUCUGAGCUAGGGUUGUUGUUAAUGUUUGUGAGCAGGUCACUGCUGCUCCCCUCUGAUGUUCUGAUAGGGUUGUUGUUAAUGUUUGUGAGCAGGUCACUGCUGCUCCCCUCUGAUGUUCUGAUAGGCUACCCGGGGGCCGUGCCCGCCCCCCCCUCGGGUGGAACCCCCCACCCCCCAACCCCCGGGUAAGAAUCACUGCUGUAGAUGGCCCCCUCUUCUCUAUGACCUUCCCUCUUCAGGUCCAUGCCUUGAGCUUUCUAGUUUUGACUCCUUGAAAUCCUCACUCAAGCAUCGUAGCCUGCCCUCAAGUACUCCCCUAUUGGAACCACCUUCUCAUUUGUUUACUCCUUCUCAAGCCUGCCUCUACCUUCUCUUUCCCACACACUGGCCCUUCACC